GGAAUGUGGAAAAAAAAGCUAUGUGGCACGGCGAUUCGCCAUGGAUGGCCUCGAGUUCUUUGAGGAAGCAGAAUCAGGUGUUAGGAUUGGCAACGCGCCAGAAGAGAGGGAUGCCAACCCAAGCAGGUCCCUGCCCUCGAUGCUUCAAUGCAAGCUUAUGCAGACAACAAGGUUGGCACUGUUGUUAACCCGGCGCUCGGGACUAGCUUUGACACAGUUGUAGAAGCAUAUGAGUUUUACAACUUAUACUCCUGGGAGACUGGUUUUGGCGUCAGGUAUGCCAAAAGCAGGCUGAACGUCCAUCGGAAAAAAUGUAUGCAGGAGUUUGUGUGCGCGUGUGCGGGCAAGCCAUUGCAAUCGAAUAGCCGCUCGACGAUGUGUGGAUGCCCUGCGUUGAUGCGGAUUCUUAGGUCUGAUGAUAAAGGAUGGUACAUAUGUGAGCACAAAGCAGAGCACAACCAUGCACUCUCAGUUAACUGUAUGGAGAAGCUGCACUGGAAAUCACACUGGCACAUAGAUAGAUGGAGCAACUAAGAAAUGUGAAAACAUUGCCGGAGUCGGUGGCUGCUGCACGCGAUGGCACGGGUUUAUCUGACAGAUAGGUGGCAGGUGAUUCUGCAGGUUCAGCUACAGCAGAGAAGCAACAUUUUGGUCCAACAAAAAAUAGGUGCAAAGUGCCUCGCAAUGUUCAGAUAGCUUUGGGGCGCCAUCAAAGAAGAGACCAGCGGGGCGCCCUACGACAAGCUGCGACAAAGCACCAUACGAACAACCAGCUAAGAGGAGUAGGUUCUGUUCGAUCUGCCGGGCCCAGGGGCACAAGAGCACAACAUGUCCGCGGCACGGGGGGUCUUCCAAAGGCGCCAAGGAAAUCACCUCGCUGCUCCAGGUGCAGCCUGAAAGGCCACAGAAGAAACACUUGCACCAACACGCCCAAGGCUGAUUUCUAUGGUUGAUUUCAUUUGUUUUCUAUGCUUGAAACAUGACAGUUUCAUGUAACCGUGCUAAUGUGGAUGUCAGACUGCUAAUGACUACUCCACAUAUUAGUGUAUCUCUAUAUCUGUAGUAUCAUUUGUUGUCGGAGAAUU